rnacentral:tRNA from 1 species
GGGUUGCUAACUCAACGGUAGAGUACUCGGCUUUCUACUCCAUCCGACUAGUUCCGGGUUCGAGUCC